rnacentral:lncRNA from 1 species
GUGUUCUGUAAUAACAUGCCUGAAUCAGAGUUGGGAAGAUGGAGCAUGGGAUGAGGACAAAGGAGAGAAGUCCAGAGGCUGGCUAGAGAUGGUCUAUUCAGACACACCUGGUGGUCUCACCCUCUGCUCCCCAUACAUGAGGCUGAGGUCCCUGCACACCCAACCCUGGAAUUGGAGCUGGAGCUCACCCUCCCUGCAGGGAUGCCGGCUUUCAGGGCCCUGCCUCCAGUCCAGUACUGUGAGUAGCUUCUCUGUCCGCUCUCCUGGAUGGCUUCUUCUGGGGACAGCUUGGGGCCCUAACUUGCCCAUUUCCCAGAAUCCUUCCUGCAACCAACUUGAGAGUUAAGGUAGCUCAGGGUGGUUAAAGGUU